rnacentral:rRNA from 1 species
GACGAAUGCUGGCUGCGUGCUUAACACAUGCAAGUCGAACGGUGAAAGGGAGCUUGCUCCCUGGAUCAGUGGCGAACGGGUGAGUAACACGUGGGCAACCUGCCCCUCACUCUGGGAUAACUCCGGGAAACCGGGGCUAAUACCGGAUACGACCUGGUGCGACAUCGCACCGGGUGGAAAGAACUUCGGUGAGGGAUGGGCCCGCGGCCUAUCAGCUUGUUGGUGGGGUAACGGCCCACCAAGGCGACGACGGGUAGCCGGCCUGAGAGGGCGACCGGCCACACUGGGACUGAGACACGGCCCAGACUCCUACGGGAGGCAGCAGUGGGGAAUAUUGCGCAAUGGGCGAAAGCCUGAUGCAGCGACGCAGCGUGAGGGACGAAGGCCUUCGGGUUGUAACCUCUUUCAGCGGGGACGAAGCGAAAGUGACGGUACCCGCAGAAGAAACACCGGCUAACUACGUGCCAGCAGCCGCCGUAACAC